UGAAUCCAAAUAAUUGGUAAAGUUAUUAUUCGCGAUUUUAUACAUCGCCAGAAAGAACUAAUAAAAAUUUUAUCUAGAUUAAUUGUGAUAAUUAUAACUGAACCAAGGAUGGCUCAAUGCUUGUGAUGCAGAAAGUCUUUCAUCGGGGUCAAUGCAGAGAAGCUUAUUUAAUAAAUCUACAAAUAAAGGAUCAUUGUUCGAAAACAACUCAUUUAUUCUGUUCUUAUGUAUGGAAUUUUCCUUUAAUGUAGUAAAAAGUCUAAUUUUGUUUAAGUUUUUAUCGAAUAAAUGUCCGUCAUGAGUAAUAAAGUGAUUUAUUAUUGAAGAAUUAUUUAUCAUCCGUAUUGGUAUUUUUUUACCUAUCGUUGUAAUGAUGUUUGCUAGCAAUUGUUGAGUUGAACUAUUAUGGUCAAAAAGUGGCUUUCUAAGCACUAAUUCUGCCAUUACACAUCCAACACUCCAAAUAUCAAUUUUCUCGUUGUAGGCUAGUCCUAAACAGAUUUCGGGAGAUCGAUAAUACCUGCUCUGGAUAUAAGAAUUUCUAGUAUUUGACGCUUGGUAAAUGCUUAAACAGCUUCCCCAAUCAAUCAAUUUAAUAUUUAUCUCGUCUUUUUUGUCAAAGUUUGUAUUGUUUAAAUAUCCAAAAAUGUCUUGUGUAUCAAUACCUGCAAUAACUAUAUUUUCUGGUUU
rnacentral:antisense_RNA from 1 species